rnacentral:rRNA from 1 species
AGCAGCCGCGGUAAUUCCAGCUCCAAUAGCGUAUAUUAAAGUUGUUGCAGUUAAAAAGCUCGUAGUUAAAUUUCGGGAUCAAUUAAUUGGUCGUGCCUCUGGUACGUACUGAUUUUAUUGGUUUCUCCCUUCUGACGAACCAUGAUGUCAUUAAUUUGGUGUCGUGAAGAAUCAGGACUGUUACUUUGAAAAAAUUAGAGUGUUUAAAGCAAGCUAACGCUUGAAUACAUUAGCAUGGAAUAAUGAAAUAGGACGUUUGAUCCUAUUUUGUUGGUUUCUAGGAUCGACGUAAUGAUUAAUAGGGAUAGUUGGGGGCAUUAGUAUUCAAUUGUCAGAGGUGAAAUUCUUGGAUUUAUUGAAGACUAACUACUGCGAAAGCAUUUGCCAAGGAUGUUUUCAUUAAUCAAGAACGAAAGUUAGGGGAUCGAAGACGAUCAGAUACCGUCGUAGUCUUAACCAUAAACUAUGCCGACUAGGGAUCGGAUAAUGUUAAUUUUUUAAUGACUCA